rnacentral:lncRNA from 1 species
GGCGUUUACCGUGGAUGUACUUUCUGGUGGUACUAAUCAGGAUUACAAGGGAUGUGUUUUCUCACCAAGCCCGAGGGGUGGCUCAUGACCCCUUUAUGGAGGAGGGGAGUAGGAGGGACCGCCCUGUUCUUCCUCAGGAGGCGACCAGGCUUUGCACUUUGCCGGCGCUUCGGCCAUCUGGACGACCCGGAAUAGGAGAUACGGACAGCUUGACACCUGUUCGAAGAAAAGUACAAAAAGAAGUCUGCGAACCAAUACUCCAGCGAUGUGACACUAUGUCCGCCAGCGAUCCACUGAUACUACAUCCGCCACGUGCAGCCGUUCACGAGAUCUGGUGCCAAUGAAAUCUAUGUAAGCGAGUCUGGGGGCUAUGGUCAAUGGCAAAAUAAAAGAGACGCGAGUUCACAUCGGAGGAAGCCAACUGUACGUGGUUGCGGGGCGUAUAAGUUGGUGAUGUCGGCUUCUCGGCGACUGACGAGAAAAGCUGCUUUACUUGACGAGGCCUAUCACGGGAAGGUCUUCACUGGCAUUGUUCCGUCGCACCCGGCAUGAGCACGAGCCGCCCGAGGGUCUGUAAACACUGGCGGGACCACGCUGGCGAGCAGCGGUUGAAGAUCGCGCGGGUGAGACACCAUGUCCACGCGCGGCGAGG